UUAUAAAUCCAACCCUCGUAUUUCGUCACAUCCUCUUUCCGUUGCCCUUUUCGCUGUGAGACUCUUCUCCGCACGAUGAGAGCUAAGUGGAGGAAGAAGCGCAUGCGCAGGCUGAAGCGUAAAAGGAGAAAGAUGAGGCAGAGGUCAAAGUAAAUCCUCAUCGUGUCAGCUGCAGCCUGUUGGACUUUCUUGUAUGACUGAAUUGGAUGCACUGGGCCACCUCCAACUUGGUUUCUGACAGCCACACGCCUCAUCCACCUACCUGUGAAAGUCUACAAGAUGGCACCAACCCUGGCACUAGACAUCAGAGCUGCUGUUUUGGUUCAUGGACCAUGAAACGUCUUGUUUAUCUGGCAACUGCCAUGGUGUAUUGAACAAUAAAUGAACACUGUUCCAAA